rnacentral:rRNA from 1 species
UACGAGAAGGGCGAGUGUUAUUCUUCAUGACUGGGCGUAAAGGGUGUGUAGGUUGUAGGGUUAGUUAUAUGUUAAAGGGCACUCAUAGUGUAGAAGUAUAUAAGACUAUCCUGCUUGAGUCUACUAGAAGAUAAUGGAACUCCUAUCAUUAGAGUUAAAAUGCGUUUAUACUAGGAGGAACACCAAAGGCGAAAGCAAUUAUCUAUAGUAGACUGACGCUAAAACACGAAAGAAUGGGGAUCAAAUGGG